GAUGAACGCUGGCGGCGUGCCUAAUACAUGCAAGUCGAGCGAACAGACGAGGAGCUUGCUCCUCUGACGUUAGCGGCGGACGGGUGAGUAACACGUGGAUAACCUACCUAUAAGACUGGGAUAACUUCGGGAAACCGGAGCUAAUACCGGAUAAUAUAUUGAACCGCAUGGUUCAAUAGUGAAAGACGGUUUUGCUGUCACUUAUAGAUGGAUCCGCGCCGCAUUAGCUAGUUGGUAAGGUAACGGCUUACCAAGGCAACGAUGCGUAGCCGACCUGAGAGGGUGAUCGGCCACACUGGAACUGGGACACGUCCCAGACUCCUACGGGAGGCAGCAGUAGGGAAUCUUCCGCAAUGGGCGAAAGCCUGACGGAGCAACGCCGCGUGAGUGAUGAAGGUCUUCGGAUCGUAAAACUCUGUUAUUAGGGAAGAACAAAUGUGUAAGUAACUAUGCACGUCUUGACGGUACCUAAUCAGAAAGCCACGGCUAACUACGUG
rnacentral:rRNA from 1 species